CCUUUUCCCCUGCAGCUCUCCUUUCUCCCGGCUGCCCCCGCCUCCCGCCCCGAGAGAGGGGAGAGUUGCUCUGCGCAGGCGUCCGCGGGACAGCGCCUGUCCGCGAGCGGCGGCGAGUCCGGUUCAGGACCCGCCCUGGCCGAGCUCGCUGCGCUGUUUGGGUGGACUGAGAGGCGGCUCUAGGGGUUGGUCAUCAGAGCGUGGCAUCUCUUUGCAAAAGAGUACCCAAGCCGCCCGAGAGAUCUCGGCGUCCUGUAAGUUGCUUAUGGAUUGGGGGUGUCGCUCAGAGGUAGAGCACUUGCCUAGCAUGCUCAAGGGCCUGAGAUCAUCCUAAGCAACGCAAAAAAUAGUUCCCUUUACCUUUUUACUUAAUGUAACCUGGAUUUUCCCCUGAGAUGGCUGCUGCCCCUUCCACUGCUUAUAUAGUGGCAACUGUGUUUUCAGCCAUUGAAAUGUUUUCAACCAUUGGCUAAGCCUCUUAGCCAGUGCCUAGAGGUCAGGUAAGUCUCUGCUCUUCAACAAUCUUGUUAUGCAGGACCCCUACCAGUGCCCUCCCUCAUUCCCCUUCCUUUUUUCACCAUCUGCUGCUUUCAGUUACUAGUGCCACUUCUGUACUAAUCCUAGGGUAGUUAUAAAGUAUACUUAAGGGGCUGGGGAUGUGGCUCAAGCAGUGGCGCGCUCGCCUGGCAUGCAUGCGGCCUGGGUUCGAUCCUCAGCACCACAUACAAACAAAGAUAUUGUGUCUGCCGAA